UGAGCCGGGCAGGCAGUUGCGCGCAGGUUACUGCGUGAGGAAAGUCCGAGCAGCACAGAGCAGGAUAACGGCUAACGGCCGCCGGGGGCGACCCUAGGGAAAGUGCAACAGAAAUAAACCGCCGCUUUUGCGGUAAGGAUGGAAAGGCGAGGUAAGAGCUCACCGAGGGGGUGGAGACAUUCCCUGCCAUGUAAACCCUAUCCGCUGCAACAUCGACUGAAGGGUUGUUUGCUCGACACAAAACUUCGAAGGAUGGCUGGAGCGCACGGGCAACCGUGCGUCGAGAUAGAUAAUUGCCCAAGACAGAACUCGGCUUACGCCCGACUCAUCGU
rfam:Clostridium sp. CAG:217 genomic scaffold, scf109